rfam:Triticum aestivum genome assembly, contig: Triticum_aestivum_CS42_TGACv1_scaffold_031949_1BL
AACAUACUCCCUCCGUCCGAAAAUACUUGUCAUCAAAAUGGACAAAAAAGGAUGUAUCUAGAACUAAAAUACAUCUAGAUACAUCGUCUUUUAUUCAUUUUGAUGACAAGUAUUUCCGGACGGAGGAAGUAUUUA